GCUUGAUCUCCGCCUUCAGCUGUGCGGAUUACAUACAGCAUCAUUCUGCAGUGCCCUGCAACUCUCAACACCAUCCCCCGGAGUGUAGGCAGGCGACUCCUUGUCGUUCCGUAUGCCAGCUGCUAGCGCGCGCUGGCAGAGUUCGAUGUUGGUUGGAAUUUUGGAUAAUUUGGAUUAGUCAAUUUCACGGUGCAAAAUGUCGAAUAUGAGCGAUGAAGAGUCUCGGGACAAGCUCCUGAAGACGGUCAAAAAAGAGGUGAAACAGAUCAUGGAGGAAGCUGUCACAAGGAAAUUUGUUCAUGAGGAAAGUGGAAGCAUCAUCUCUCUAUGUGGUAAGUUUACAUCCAUUUGGUUGUCAUGGAAACUGAUUUAACUCUUCAGUGGAGAGGGGGGGGGGCAGAUGGUGCUCAUUUCGAGUACAUGUAGGACUUUGAGGCCAAUUGCAAAAAGAGAAAUUUGUUAUUCAGGGAAUAAUUUUCCUGGUAUCACAUUGCAAUUUGCUCCACAAUUUUGAAAGACUGCUAGUGCUAUGCCUAAAGUCUUUUGUAUAGCACAUUUUUACAUAGGACUGUACAUUACUUACAAUAGUUGAGAGCUUUUCUCUUAUGACCAAAAGUGCUAUUCAAAUUUGUAAAGUAAAAUUAUUCCCUGUUAUUGCAUCUAAAAAAAAAUGAUAGUCCCAAAUGUAUUCUUCUAAUUACCGGUACAUCUGUGUUUUGAGUUCAAUGGCAACUUCUUCAAAAUGGGCUCUCUGUUGUGUUAAUGUGAAACUUUAAAAUUUAUAAACACUGUACAAGGGAGACAAGAGAAGUACCGGUAGUCUUUAUGCGUCGUGGUGUAGCGGUUUUGACUCUCGCCUUGUAAUCAGAGGGUCGUGUGUUCGAAUCCCACCAUGGCCUAGCGUCCUUUGGCAAGGCGUUAAUCCACACUUUGCCACUCUCCACCCAGGUGUUAAAUGGGUACCCGGUAGGAUGUGAAAGCCUAUAUGUAUUAUGCCUAGCAAUUGAGUCUUGGAACUCUUGUUGGAAUGCUCCCCAGGGAGUGGAGAAGGUGCAUAUAUUGUAUGCGGGCAUGCAAGGAUCCGAUGACCGGGGUAAUAAUAUGUCUGUAAAGCGCUUAGAGACGUCGUUCCGAUGUAUUAAGCGCUAUAUAAAUGCGGAAUAUUAUAUUAUUUAUGGACAGGUGCCUUCACACUUUGUCAAUGGGGAUUUAUACAAUAUAAAUGAAACAAAACUUGUGAUCUCUGACCACAGGGAGGUGACCCUUCUAUACAGGUGGUUGCUGGUUGCGGACUAGACUGCAAAAUCAUUAGAGUUGUCAGAUCUCCUAACAUUCAAAGUAUCACAAAAGUGCAUGUUUUUCAAAUUUGUGUGCACUGUAGUUACAUGUAAAAUGCAUUACAUUACAUGUACAUGUAUGUAUUUAGUCUUGUAAAAUAUUCUCCCAAGAAAUCAACAACUGUACAAAAACCAACUUUAGUUUUAGAAAGGAUGAUCAUUCAAAACUUAAAAUAAGAUCCAUAAUUUCAUUUUAAAAUCUUGAGUUUUAUAAAGGAUGAUCAUUCAAAACUUAAAAUAAGAUCCAUAAUUUCAUUUCAAAAUCUUUAGUUUUAUAAAGGAUGAUCAUUAAAAACUUAAAAUAAGAUGUUCAAUAAUCACAUGUCAUAUUUACAUACGUAGAAGUAGUUUAAACAUUGAAUAUAUUGUUAUCUGACUAUCAUCAUAACUUUAUAGAGUGAGCAAAUAGGUAACCUCCUUGGUAUUAUAAGCCAGUGACAAAGUUGUGGUCUAUAGAUGUCCAUUCACUGACCUUGUGGCAAUAAUAUAGCCUUUUGGAAUUCUGUACAAGUAUGAUAAUGUGUGUAUACAUGUACAUGUGUAUUGUGUCUAAGCUUAUAUUGUUUUUAAUGCAAAUUCACCAACAUGAAGAAGGCCUGAUGUAUCUGGAGCAAAAAUUUUGUUAUUAAUAUUAUUUUAUACUGUUCUUUGGAAAUUA